CUAGAGUUGAUCAUGGCUCAGGAUGAACGCUGGCGGCGUGCCUAAUACAUGCAAGUCGAGCGAAUGGAUUGAGAGCUUGCUCUCAAGAAGUUAGCGGCGGACGGGUGAGUAACACGUGGGUAACCUGCCCAUAAGACUGGGAUAACUCCGGGAAACCGGCUAAUACCGGAUAAYAUGAACUGCAUGGUUCGAAAUUGAAAGGCGGCUUCGGCUGUCACUUAUGGAUGGACCCGCGUCGCAUUAGCUAGUUGGUGAGGUAACGGCUCACCAAGGCAACGAUGCGUAGCCGACCUGAGAGGGUGAUCGGCCACACUGGGACUGAGACACGGCCCAGACUCCUACGGGAGGCAGCAGUAGGGAAUCUUCCGCAAUGGACGAAAGUCUGACGGAGCAACGCCGCGUGAGUGAUGAAGGCUUUCGGGUCGUAAAACUCUGUUGUUAGGGAAGAACAAGUGCUAGUUGAAUAAGCUGGCACCUUGACGGUACCUAACCAGAAAGCCACGGCUAACUACGUGCCAGCAGCCGCGGUAAUACGUAGGUGGCAAGCGUUAUCCGGAAUUAUUGGGCGUAAAGCGCGCGCAGGUGGUUUCUUAAGUCUGAUGUGAAAGCCCACGGCUCAACCGUGGAGGGUCAUUGGAAACUGGGAGACUUGAGUGCAGAAGAGGAAAGUGGAAUUCCAUGUGUAGCGGUGAAAUGCGUAGAGAUAUGGAGGAACACCAGUGGCGAAGGCGACUUUCUGGUCUGUAACUGACACUGAGGCGCGAA
rnacentral:rRNA from 1 species